AUGCACAGCGAACACCCAAGGAUGCUAUCAUGGCUCCCCCUGGUUUUUGUGUCUGUGCUACAGUAACUCUGAUCUGUACCUCUGCAUUAGGAGAGUCUCUUCCUCCCCUACAUGUAUUCAGCGGAUCAGGAUAAUC
ensembl:snoRNA small nucleolar RNA SNORA22